UAACCUUACUGGAAUUUAGAUGGUGCUUCACCCUAAUGCUGAGUAGCACGGUAGCCAUAUUCUCCUCCUCUGUGAAACCAGCAAUUUUGUAGAGGUUAGACACAAUCCUGUUUGCUUUGGUGUCUUAUUUUUAAAAAGGGACUCUUGAGAGGUAGUCCUGAAAGUCAGACCCUCUGAAAAACUUACUCAACAUUUGUCCCCACCGUUUUCUUUUCUGUAACCUUCGCAUAAGUUAAAAAAGUGGAGGAAACAACUUUGAACUGGUGAUGUGGGGUGGGGAGACAGAUGGUGAGGGAAGAGACUGAUGCACACCCAAAGUUCUGAAGCAUUUAGCGUGGGACUGUUGGCGAAGGAGGUCACUUUUGGAAUAGGCAGUCUUGACAGUGUCUUUUUACAUCCUCAGCAUGCCACCAAUAACCAGAAAGUGACCGUGUCUUUGAUAAAGGUAUUUCAAGUGUCAAAAUACCCAACAUUUUGAUGACGGGACCAAAUAGCAGUCACCUGUCCUAGGGCUAGUAUUGGAGCAGGCCCAGGUGGAGAAGCCUUCUCUCAGGUUUUGUUGUGAUUUUUUUAAGUUACAAUUUUAACUAAAGGCAAAAUCAGCCUGAGCAAUAUCGCAUGACUUGCUGUCAAGCAGGAUUGGACCAGUGUAGUUAUUUUAAAUAUAGCCUUGAGGAGGGGGUAGAUGCAUUUCAUUUAUUAUUGUUUGCACGGUGAUAGCUCCCUCUUCUAAGUGAGUAUCACUGAGUUUUUGCCCUCAGGUCUCUUAAUUUCAUUCCACAGCUCAAGACCCGCACUACUGGAAACAAGAACUGGAGAAACCUUGAACUGACUGGUAGCCAUGAUCUCCUGCCGUGUGCCUAAUGGUCAUAUACAGGGUUAAUUCUGAUCAUACAUUUGACAUUGUUACCAGAGUGUUAUUGCUUAAGUGGCAUAGUGGUUUUUUGGUUUGGUGGGGUUUUUUUAACCCAUCUCUUUAAAUACAAUCUGGGCAUAUAAUGGGAAAGAAGACC
rnacentral:lncRNA from 1 species